CAUUAUACAUUGUAAGAAACAAAAUAAAAAAGUAGAAACAAAAAAUAAUAGAGACAAUACUGCAUCAUUUUCAGUGAACAUAGUAGGCAACUAUUUAUUAUUCAAACCUAUAUCCUUUCCUACCAGCUUUACAUACUUUACUUUCAUUCAGUCUUUCAGGCAAUAGACAUCUACAUUUGUUGUCUAGUCUCAAAUUAUUUUUCGUUUGAUUCAAACUUCCAUACGGAUUAAUCAUGUGCAGUGGACCUUGUGGAUCUUGCUGUGGACUUUGCGGUGGUUGCUGUGGUCCUUGCGGACCUCGCUGCGGGCCAUGUGGAUCGUGUUGUGGACCUUGCUAUGUGUCAUGCUGCGGACCUUGUGGCCCCUGCGGAGGGUGUUGUUGGUGCUGAAUAGAUUUCUUGAUUUAGAGCUUUAUCCCAGUAUCUUCAGCAAACUAAAAUACACACGUCGAUCAUAGAUUCAUCAUAAUGGAUAGCACCAUUUCAGGACAAGAAACCAAUUAGAUUACUUAUCCGGCCAAUCAAACGAAAUAAUUUGAGACGAUUCAACGAAUAAAUAAAAUUGUACACCUUCAAAAAGAAAUGUUUCUGUUUUGGGUUAUUUGGGUAUCAUGUGGGUGUGCUUCAUUGCAUUUUAUUUUCAUCCUUAUUAGUUCUGACUGAGAUAUACUCGAGCCCUUUCAGCUUUGAUCCAAAUUUCUCUCUUAUGGCCAAUUUUUAAUUUUAUUAUUAUUAUAGUAAUUAUUAUGCAUGUUAGCAUGUAAUAUAUAUGGAAUUUAUCAAAUUAGCGAAAUAGAUGCGAAUAGAAUGACUGUUCAUGUGUUAAUUGUAUAUAAAUCGGAAACCUCAACAGCAAAAGCCGAAAUGCUAGUAAGCCAGGUUUCCACAAAACCAUAUUACACAAAAAUUAAAAUCGAAUCCUAGUAGGCUAGGAGUAAAAUUUUUAGAUUUAUGAGAUUCAAGCUUUGUAAAAUAUCAGUAUCCACUUGUCACCAGCUCGGAAGACAUCAAAAUUUUUUCUCUAGUUCUCAUUUUUUCCUUUAAUCAAUUCUGUGAUUAAAAAUGUGCGGACCUUGUGGUGGCUGUGGACCUUGUGGACCUUGCGGUCCUUGCUGUGGUCCUUGUGGACCUUGCGGUCCUUGCUGCGGACCUUGUGGUCCCUGCUGUGCACCAUGCGGACCGUGUUGUGGACCUUGUGGACCUUGCUGCGGACCAUGCGGCAAAAGGAACGGACUUCAAUGCCCUUGAGGCUUAGUUGCGUUGUUUAGAAAACUGUACAUUUGAACCCUGGGUUCAUGACUCACCAACAGCAUCUUCUCCAGAAUUGCUUCUUAAAGGUUGUGGAGACUAGAGAUAUUACUUGUGUAAUUUAACAGUCUUCAAUAAAAUACGAAAAUACUAGAACAAA